rnacentral:misc_RNA from 1 species
CAAGUGCGGCAUAGCCUUGGCCGCCGCGACCCGGUUUCCUGUGUUGCGUACCUACACGAUGGCAUUCGUUUGUCCCAACGUCCCUUGUUCGUUUAGUGGUCCGCUUCUCGGUGGGUCACGAUACGAAACUCGCAGCAUGSCCCGUUACCCGCGUCGCGGUGAACGGGGCAUCGCUUGAGCUCUUGGAUACAGAAAGCAUUGAGGGCAUUGAGGUCUCGCGGCCUCUUAUUGUUGCUCGAGCAUGUAUACACCAACGGUGCACGACCGUCGCUCCCGUAUCGGCCCGGCCGUGCGGUGACGAUGUCGUUGAGGAAUGCUACCUGGUUGAUCCUGCCAGUA